AUAUCUUUCUUGGCCUUUUGGCUAAGAUCAAGUGUAGUAUCUGUUUUUAUCAGUUUAGUAUUUGAUAUGUGGGCCAUGUGCUUACAAUGAUAUUGAAUUUAUUUUUUCUGAGGGAGGGUCCAUCACAUUGGCUUGUCAUUGCGGUCCUCAGGUGUCGCCUGGUUUUUGCACUAUAGCCUAUGCAGGCGCACUCCAA
rfam:Triticum aestivum genome assembly, contig: Triticum_aestivum_CS42_TGACv1_scaffold_485670_6AS